GCUUUGGACCGAGUCCCACCGCUGGACCUUAAAGCACUCUCCGCCUCGUUCAUUUCCUAUGGCGUUCUUUCAACCACUGCGAACACACGGUGUGGAGCGCGAGGGCCGGGAUUGCAGCGAGAAAUGCCCGAGGAACUCGUCCAUUCAGAGCCCACGUCCUAGUGCAAACCUGCAGAACAUGCACCGUGUGGAACUUGGACACUGAGACCCAGAGACCUCGACGACAGGAACGUUAGAUCAACGCCGUAGCAAAGGAAUCUUGGGUCGCAGUACAAGAGUCGCACGAGGAUGCUGCGCCUGGCACCGUCUCCUCCGUCCUCUGCCGCCCAGCUCUAGGCUUUAAGUGAAGGACACCUGGACGCCGGUGUGUGCGGAACCGUCUGCGGGGCUCGUGAAGAACGUGGAGGCCGGGCCUUCUCGGGACAGCGGUCCGAGGUCACCGCCUGAAGCGCUCUACAAACCGCUCCCAUCAGGGCGACAGCGGCAGCGGUAACGGGCAGCUCGGGGUGAACUUGCUCAUUUGAGAGCGAGUUGGGGUUGCUCGCUCGCUCUCUCUCUCUCCUCUCUUCCUCUGCUCUCUGCUCUCU